CGUCAGCGCAUUCCUUCCGGCGUUGGCGGCGGCUAAACUCUCGAGGUUCGCUGCUGCUGCUGCUGCCGGUGGCGUUGCAUGCGGUGCCUCUUGCCUCCCGGCUUUGACGGUGUCGGCGUGGCUCGCUAUAUCCGGAGGCGGCCGCUGUUAUACUCCAAAGCGUCGGCGAGACCUCCGUGUACAGCUAAGCGAGGCGGCUCACUGCCAGGUUGGCGAGCGUAGUGUCUGCGGCAAGUGAGACGACCGAGUCGGCUUCGCCCUCCGCUGCCGCCACCACCGCGAACGUCGUCGCCGGGUUUCAUCCCCGCUGCGCCGCCGCCGCCGUCGGCCCCGUGGAGGUCGUUGCGAAUUCAACUGUGUGUGUGAGCGAGGCUCCUCCGGGAAACGGGCGCACUCGUUUUCUGGCUUCUCCAUGACAGGUCGCCCCACCUAUAGAGCCAAGGCCGCUGCCGCACCACGCGGAACAUGAUUGAGUUCUUUUCGGCGCCGCUGCCCUCCGGGAGGUUUCGUCGGCGUCGGCAGCGAUGCCGUCACGCGGGGGCAGUCAGGCGGACGACUGCAAGCAGACUCGCUUGCGGCGUCGGCUGCGGGCCACUUUCGCCUGACUUCACCGGUGCGUCGUGACACAGCGCGCCGCCGACGACGCCGAUGCGUCCCUCUCUGCGGAUUCCCCCGCGCGAUGCAAGAAGCGGCGGUCCCGGCGGCCCUCUUUUCUUCGGCGCCGUACAAUUCUAUGUACGCCGAGCCAUGUUCCGACGUCGUCAGAUUGGAGAUUAGAGUUUAAAAGUUUCCGUGUGGUC
rnacentral:lncRNA from 1 species